GAUGAACGCUGGCGGCGUGCCUAAUACAUGCAAGUCGAGCGAACGGACGAGAAGCUUGCUUCUCUGAUGUUAGCGGCGGACGGGUGAGUAACACGUGGAUAACCUACCUAUAAGACUGGGAUAACUUCGGGAAACCGGAGCUAAUACCGGAUGAUAUUUUGAACCGCAUGGUUCAAAAGUGAAAGACGGUCUUGCUGUCACUUAUAGAUGGAUCCGCGCUGCAUUAGCUAGUUGGUAAGGUAACGGCUUACCAAGGCGACGAUGCAUAGCCGGCCUGAGAGGGUGAUCGGCCACACUGGAACUGAGACACGGUCCAGACUCCUACGGGAGGCAGCAGUAGGGAAUCUUCGGCAAUGGGCGAAAGCCUGACGGAGCAACGCCGCGUGAGUGAUGAAGGUCUUCGGAUCGUAAAACUCUGUUAUUAGGGAAGAACAUAUGUGUAAGUAACUGUGCACAUCUUGACGGUACCUAAUCAGAAAGCCACGGCUAACUACGUG
rnacentral:rRNA from 1 species